rnacentral:rRNA from 1 species
AUUGAACGCUGGCGGCAGGCCUAACACAUGCAAGUCGAGCGGAAGAAGGGAGCUUGCUCCUGGAUUCAGCGGCGGACGGGUGAGUAAUGCCUAGGAAUCUGCCUGGUAGUGGGGGAUAACGUCCGGAAACGGGCGCUAAUACCGCAUACGUCCUGAGGGAGAAAGUGGGGGAUCUUCGGACCUCACGCUAUCAGAUGAGCCUAGGUCGGAUUAGCUAGUUGGUGGGGUAAAGGCCUACCAAGGCGACGAUCCGUAACUGGUCUGAGAGGAUGAUCAGUCACACUGGAACUGAGACACGGUCCAGGCUCCUACGGGAGGCAGCAGUGGGGAAUAUUGGACAAUGGGCGAAAGCCUGAUCCAGCCAUGCCGCGUGUAUGAAGAAGGUCUUCGGAUUGUAAAGUGCUUUAGUUUGGGAGGAAGAGCAGUAAGUUAAUACCUUGCUGUUUUGACGUUACCAACAGAAUAAGCACCGGCUAACUUCGUG